CUCCAGAAUUUCUACUAGACUAAAACCGGCUGCCUCGAGCUUGCAAUGUGCUGCAGGCUGUUGCCCGGCCCAUUUAGUUUAGGUCGGCUCGGCUCGGCUGCGAAAUUAUCUACUUACCUCAACAUUGAGAGAAAUUUUCACGCCGUUGCCAUUGUGCGACGCAUCCGGCGACCAAGAAACCCUAGCGUCGUGCCCGGUGGAUCCUGGCCACCGCCGCCGUUCUCCACGGCGAGCGGAGCCGCUGGUAUUCCUCUGCAUCCUCCACAACGGAAGUGGGUUCUCGCCGCCUCAAGAUCCCCUCCCCACCGAGCAUCCGUCGCGACAGCCCCCUCCUGCCGUUGGAGCUUCUCCGCCGAGUGCAGAUGAUCUUCGCCGGCCUCCAUCGCCGUUCUGCCAGUACUCGACGAUCUGCUUCCUGUUUUUCCUCUCCGACCUCGACAAGGCGGAGCCCCAUAGCGCUGCCGAUUUUGGCCUCCCUGCACGUUUGGUUAGGAGCGGCGAUGGGCUGGCCGGAGGCAACCUUCAUCCUUCUCUUCCAGCGACGGGUUGCUUCAGCAGCGCUUUCUCAUCUUAAUCAUCACGGUUAGAUUGGUGGUUUGUGCCCGUGAGGUAAUUAAGGAGGUAGAUUAUGGUUGGGCAUGGUCUUCUCUUAUGCAUUUGAGUUUUCUGCAACUGCUCUUAUCCUAUUUGAUCAAUUUUACAUGUUUGAUCUCAUUUUCAAGAACUCGAUCCAUUGAUUUAAGGCCAGGACUUCUAGUGACAUUUUGUUUGAUAGGCUAGUAGGUUCUGCAAGAGGGUUCAAACGGAGCAGUUGUCCAAAAUUGGUUGUUUUCCUUUUAGAUGUAACUCGUCCUUUCUGGAUCGAUAAGGCUUGUCAAUUUGAUUGCUAAUACAUAAACACUAAUCUGUAAUCA